UCCGCGAUAGCUCUGUCGGUCGAGCAAACGACUGUUAAUCAUUGGGUCCCUGGUUCGUGUCCAGGUCGCGGAGCUA
rnacentral:tRNA from 1 species